UCUGUUGCGAAUCACUUCUGUUACGAAGCUUCUUCCUCAAUUCUUUUGUGAAGCUUUUCAAGUAUUUCGAUUAUGUUAUCGAUAAGGUGAUUAUGAAGAGGGAUUAGAGUUUAUGGUGUUGAGUGUUACCAAUGGAAGGUUCAGCGUGUUGGUUCAAUGGAGGUUGAAGGUGGUUAACGGUUUUGUGAGUUUGUUACGGUUGUUGAAGGGAUUGAAGAGAGGCUUGGUUCAGUUGUUAGAGGUUGAAGAAGAUUAGGUGAUGGAGGAAGAAGAAGAAUCUGGAUCGUGAUUAUGAGUAUGGUUGAAGGUUUGUUACAGGUUGAAGAAGAAUCUGGAAAAGUUUGUUAGAAUUUUUUGGAGGUUUCUGUUGAAGGAUUGAGGGCAAAAGCGAUUUUGGAAUGAGAGGGAAAAAAUUUCUGAAACCAAUGAUUGGCAAUGAUUGCAGCUUAUAUAGCAGGAUCUAAGGGGCAAAUUGGAGAAUUAAAUCUGAAAAUGGUUCAAUCUGCACCAUCCAGCUGGCACUUAAAUGAAGGUCUGUGUUGGUAUGCUCGGAUAGCUCGCCCUGCCUCUGCAGGUUUCUCUUGGCUUUGGUUUUUCAACAGGGUAACUCUGAAGUUGCAGAGGGAUGCGUGGUUGAUAUGACUCAGCUCAAGUCGAAUGUUCCAACUCUAGCCAUUAUGCAUUUAUCUGAUAGAGUCUGAUGAAAGUGAAUCACGUUGUGUUAAUCUCCCUGAUGUCAACCGCGAAUUCCCUUCACUCUUAGCUGCUAAUUGAAAGUCUUUACAGGUUAUGCUUAAGAUAAUAAAACACGCGUAACUCAUCGAAGCGACAAACCCUUCCGGAUGACGACACUUCAUGACAGCUUAGAUGUGUAUCGCCCAAGGAAUGCUUAAUGUUGCUUGACCUUACUUAGGAGCGCGCGACACACCUUCUUCCGGCCUCGUGUUUGAACCAACGGGAAGCAAUUAGGAUUUAGGUAAAAUACACGUUUGAGACUCGG